GGUGCCCUAGCUUGCCUCUUCCUCCAGCUCAUCAGGCUUAACCCCUGCAAUUUUUCUUUUCUGCUUUCUUCCAGGCCAGCGAUUCUCAACCCAGUUAUGUACUAAAAUCACCUGGGAAGCUUUUUAAAAAAUACUGAUGUUUGGGCCCAGCCCUAGACCAGUGAAAGCAGAGUAUCUGGGAAUGAGGCCUAGGCAUCAAUAUCAUUUAAAAGCUCCCUCAGUGCUUCUAAGGUGCAGCUAGGGUUAAGAACCAGAUAUAGGUUCAUGUCUCUGCCCAGGACACACACACACACAUGCAAACACACCCUUUCCUGCCUCCCCUACCUUUCCUCCCAAGCUCCUGAUAUCUGUAAUACUAUCAGGCAGAUUGUGUGUCUUCACCUGUGUAUCUUCCUCAUCUUUAUUACUAAAUUCCUUGUAGGAGCCUUAGAAUUUGGGAUGGAAUUUAGAGGUCUGUACCCUGUCAACUACCUCAACCUGAGCUCUUCCCCAAGGCCAGGAAUUAUGACUCCAUCUCCCUGUGGAUUUCUAAAUAGGAUCCAGAUAAGGCCUGAGCUAAUCUGGGACAUUUAAGUUAUUUGGGAUGAAGGGGUGGGAGGUUCAGAGUUUCACUGACUCUUGUGCUCUUCCCCCAAAAAUAGUAUUGGUAAUUUGGAGAGCUUCAGAGAGGAGAAACUUUCUCCAGGAAUACAUCUUCCCCUUUCCUUACUGUUUCCAAAUGUUUCUGCUUCUUCUCUUUCCUUUAGCUUCUCACCUGGGGCGGGUGGGUGCUCCACCACCCUCCCGCCCUCUUUCCUCCACACGUGUGCCAGAGCCACAUCCAGCACCACGGACAGCUCCCGGGCGUGCCAAAGAGAGAUGCCAAGGGGCCGGCUUUUCUGUCCUUUUUUGUUUUGCUUCCUCUGGCCUUGGCUCCCCAGCCCGGCCCCCCACCUUGCUGGGCUCAGGCUUCAGAAAGAAAGAGGCAAGGCCCUGCAGUCCGGCUUCCAUCUUCGUAACUCUGGUGACACUGUGCCCUCUCAGGCCGCUCAACCUCCUCGCUCGGACCCAACGGCCCUUGCUCAGGAAAUUCCAUGAUCUUUCUUAUUCCUGUCUUGGGAAGUCCUUCCCAAUGUCUAACCAAGAUCUGUACUGCUGAAGCACCAGUUCUUUGACCCUUGGCUUGACAUGGUUAAUUUGAGAGGCACAGCUUCCCUCUACCCCAGGAAGGAAGAAACUGACUUUGAUUUGGCACCCACUUGCUUGU
rnacentral:lncRNA from 1 species